AUAAAAAUGACAGAUUCCAAAUUCAAAUGUAAUGUUUUGUUUAUUUUAAAUUGUGACAGUAUUUAUGGCCAGACUAAGUACAUGAUAUUAUAGGCAUAAAUAAUAAUGUGAUUAUCAGAAUUGAGUUUAUUUUAGAUAUUAAUUUUUACAAAGUGUGCAACAAGUACUGGUUAGACGUAAACAGUAAAAAUGUGGGACCAAAUCAACGAAGCGAACAACAACUUUAUUAACCAAGAAAUACUAAAAAUUUUACACAUUUUUUACAAUUUUAAGACAAAUAAAUACUAAAACCCGACAACUACAUGAGAACCUCACCCUCGACCGUGAAAAUGAAGGUACCCCUCCGCAUUGUAAGGAACUUCGUUCCAAGACCUCGGCCUGCAACGUUCUUUAUUCAACGUUAGUUCAGUAGCUGGCAGCAGUUUUCAUGAUCAAUUGUGACCAUCCACCAUCAUAUGGGUCGUCUGGGCGUCUGCUUAUAAUGACAAUACAAAAUAAUUUUUAAAUGUAAUUUGAUAAUAAAUAUGGAAUACAUUAAUAGAA